CCACCCCAGGCCCCUAGCCCCUCCACCCCAGGCCCCUAGCCCCUCCACCCCAGGCCCCUAGCCCCUCCACCCCAGGUCAUGUUUAUUUUAACCCUCUUUAUCCUUGCCUGUCUCACUGACAACUCUCCAAUCUGGAAUGGACCCUAUUCCCUAUCUAGUGCACUACUAGACCAACUAUGUCAUCUGGAACUAGUGAACUAGAAAGGGGAUAGGAGGCCAUUUUGUCAUGUGAUGCCAGAGGGGUCAUCUACAACAAGUUUUAUCUUCACACACCUGGACUGGACACACCUGGACUAAACUCACCUGUACUAGAUACACUGUAACACAGAGACACACCUGGACUAAACUCACCUGUACUAGAUACACUGUCACACAGAGACGCACCUGGACUAGACACACACCUGGACUAGACACACACCUGGACUAGACACACACCUGGACUAGACCCACCUGGACUAGAUACACUGUAACACAGACACACCUGGACUAGACCCACCUGGACUAGACACACUGUAACACAGAGACAUACCUGGACUAGACACACCUGGACUAGACACACUAACACAGAGACAUACCUGGAGUAGACACACACCUGGACUAGACCCACCUGGACUAGACCCAUCUGGACUAGACACACCUGGACUAGACACAAUUGGACUAGACACACUGUAACACAGAGACACACCUGGACUAGACACAACUGGACUAGACACACUAACACAGAGACAUACCUGGACUAGACACACCUGGACUAGACCCACCUGGACUAGACACACCUGGACUAGACACACCUGGACUAGACACACUGUAACACAGAGACACACCUGGACUAGACACACCUGGACUAGACACACUGUAACACAGACACACACCUGGACUAGACACACACCUGGACUAGACACACCUGGACUAGACACACUGUAACACAGAGACAUGUGACCGUUGAAAUGUUUUAUUUGCAUGCGUUGGUAUAGCAACACACAUUUUUAGAUGUAAAAUGUGGUUGUGAUUAUUACUGUGAAAGUCCAAUGGGCUCCACUGUCUUGCUCCUAGCAGACAUGACACUUGUUGAGUGACCCAUAUGCAUUCAUCUUGUUGUUGGGGGGGUUCAGUAACAUUCCCUCUAGAUUGAAUACUGCUGCUACAGUUUGAGUUAAAAGACGAGAGGGGAAGCAGGCUGAGGUUUUAAACGGAGAGGGGAAGAGGAGAGGGGAAGCAGGCUGAGGUUUUAAACGGAGAGGGGAAGAGGAGAGGGGAAGCAGGCUGAGGUUUUAAACGGAGAGGGGAAGAGGAGAGGGGAAGCAGGCUGAAGUUUUAAACGGUUGGCGAUACUGUGGUUCUUCUGGUUGGGGACAAGAGGAGACCUUUAAUUAAUGUGUUAGGAGACUAGUAUGACGAGGGACUGUUUUUUUCCCUACCUGCUCUCUGUCCAGCUCCCUCGGGGAUAACUUGAGGAGUUAAACCGUGUUUUCAAAGGGGGGUGUUGAUGAGGUUUAAUUUCAAAUGGCUCAAUAUUCUCUAUCUAGUGCACUAUGUAGGGAAUAGGGUUCCCCCCCAUAGGGCCCUGGUCAAAAGUAGUGCACUAUGUAGGGAAUAGGGAGCUAUUUUAGCCGCAGGCCCUUUUAUGUUAAUGCAAGACUGGGUCAGUUUUAUCAGAUAAUCUGAGAACUAGAUAAACCCUCCCCCCAACAGCAUCUAGUUAGUUCUCACCUUUCACUGCCUAAACCUAGUGUUGUCUGUCUGUGGGUUUCUACUGAAUGUUUGUUCACAUCUCUUUUCUUUUCUUUGUAAGACUGUAUUUAUUGUAAAAGAUAAAUGGAAAUAUGUUGUGCUGGAGUGAGAUUCAUUAUUUUACCUGUCUGAGUAAAAGGACUCCAACUCCCUUCUCUCCCUCGUGGAAUUACACUCACUCAAAAUGGCUGCCGGGUUCACCCACAACUGUGUACCUGUCUGAGUACAUGGACUCCAACUCCCUUCUCUCCCUCGUGGAAUUACACUCACUCAAAAUGGCUGCCGGAUUUACCCACAACUGUGUACCUGUCUGAGUACAUGGACUCCAACUCCCUUCUCUCCCUCGUGGAAUUACACUCACUCAAAAUGGCUGCCGGGUUCACCCAUAACUGUGUACCUGUCUGAGUAAAUGGACUCCAACUCCCUUCUCUCCCUCGUGGAAUUACACUCACUCAAAAUGGCUGCCGGGUUCACCCACAACUGUGUACCUGUCUGAGUAAAUGGACUCCAACUCCCUUCUCCCCCUCGUGGAAUUACACUCACUCAAAAUGGCUGCCGGGUUCACCCACAACUGUCUCGAAAGGGAAUGUCUGCUUCAGUAAUUGUCUUUCUUUGAUAAUAUAUCUCCCUUCACAGCCUCUCAGAGGCAUUAUAGAUAUAUAUAUUUCUAGAGCUGCUCAAAAGAAGCACACCAUUUUGGAUGCAGGGAGAGGGCCUGUAAGGUCACACAGUCUGUUUUCCACAAGGCGUCAUCGGUUGGUGUGAAAGGAUGCUCUUUCCUUCAUCUCUAGGUUUGGUUGUUUCCAAGUGUCCUUUUUUGUCUGUCGCCUGUCUGAAACAUUUUGUCGUCAUUGAUUUAAAAUGGGGAAUAAAUUCAUCAACAAUUCAA